GUAGGUGAACCUGCGGAAGGAUCAUUACAAAAGGGGGAAAAUGGAUGAGUUGAAAUGAGUGGGGGGAGAGAGGGAGGGGAGGGGAGGAAGUGAGAGAGGGAGUGAGGAGAGAUGAGGGAGAGAGGGAGAGAGAUUGUCAUUGACAUUUUCACUCUUUUUCACUCUUCACUCUUCACUCUUCUUUCUUUCUCUUUCCCCUCUCUCUUUCCCCUCUCUCUUUAGCAACAUUGGGCCAAUUAUAUAUCUCUCUAUACAACUUAUAACAAUGGAUCUCUGGGCUCUU
rnacentral:misc_RNA from 1 species